rnacentral:tRNA from 1 species
GCGUGGACGUAUCUCUAAACUACGAAUCUGGGGGUCAGAGGUUCGAAUCCUUUCGGGCGCGCCA